UGUGAGCUCGAUGAGUAGGGCGGGACACGUGGUAUCCUGUCUGAAUAUGGGGGGACCAUCCUCCAAGGCUAAAUACUCCUGACUGACCGAUAGUGAACCAGUACCGUGAGGGAAAGGCGAAAAGAACCCCGGCGAGGGGAGUGAAAAAGAACCUGAAACCGUGUACGUACAAGCAGUGGGAGCACGCUUAGGCGUGUGACUGCGUACCUUUUGUAUAAUGGGUCAGCGACUUAUAUUCUGUAGCAAGGUUAACCGAAUAGGGGAGCCGAAGGGAAACCGAGUCUUAACUGGGCGUUAAGUUGCAGGGUAUAGACCCGAAACCCGGUGAUCUAGCCAUGGGCAGGUUGAAGGUUGGGUAACACUAACUGGAGGACCGAACCGACUAAUGUUGAAAAAUUAGCGGAUGACUUGUGGCUGGGGGUGAAAGGCCAAUCAAACCGGGAGAUAGCUGGUUCUCCCCGAAAGCUAUUUAGGUAGCGCCUCGUGAAUUCAUCUCCGGGGGUAGAGCACUGUUUCGGCAAGGGGGUCAUCCCGACUUACCAACCCGAUGCAAACUGCGAAUACCGGAGAAUGUUAUCACGGGAGACACACGGCGGGUGCUAACGUCCGUCGUGAAGAGGGAAACAACCCAGACCGCCAGCUAAGGUCCCAAAGUCAUGGUUAAGUGGGAAACGAUGUGGGAAGGCCCAGACAGCCAGGAUGUUGGCUUAGAAGCAGCCAUCAUUUAAAGAAAGCGUAAUAGCUCACUGGUCGAGUCGGCCUGCGCGGAAGAUGUAACGGGGCUAAACCAUGCACCGAAGCUGCGGCAGCGACGCUUAUGCGUUGUUGGGUAGGGGAGCGUUCUGUAAGCCUGUGAAGGUGUGCUGUGAGGCAUGCUGGAGGUAUCAGAAGUGCGAAUGCUGACAUAAGUAACGAUAAAGCGGGUGAAAAG
rnacentral:rRNA from 1 species